AAUCUAUUUUCACGAUGUUGUGUGUGUUCUUCGUUCUUCAUUGUUCGACGGCGACGGUGAUUCUUGCCCUUCCUCACGAAUCUGAAAUUGAGAGCGUUAUUGUUUUUACGUGUUUAUCCCCAUUAAUUCAGAUGCCCACUACGAGUUAUUCAAUGAGUCUUUUAGAUCUGAAAGGCGGUGUGAUUUCGGUAUAAAUAGAUGUGAGUAUACUCCCCGAUGGAUUUGACAUAGCUCAAUGUGCUCAGAACUUCAAGCUUUCUGACUCCUCUUUACCGAUUCGGUUCAAUGAUUCAACCAAUUUUGACGAGUUAACCGAACCGGUCUCUCCGUUACCUGAAGAAAGAUUCCGGAUCCGUAACCAAACCGAUCUGGUUGGAUUAUCUAACACGUCACAAAGCUUCCAAGAAUGUGCUCAGAAAUUUUAGGAAAGAUGAGCACAAAGAAAGAUGGUAAAACGGUAAAAGAGGCUCACGAAAAGCUCAAGGGAACUGAUGCAUAUUGUUUUUGUUCAAUAUUUGGAGGUUAAGGGUAAUAGGAUAAGCUCCAAUGGAAUAAAAGAAAACAAUUCAAAUUCUCUGAGUGGCUCCACUUCUGUGAAUGUUGAUUCAACAGCAAAUACAUCCAGCACAUUGUCACCACUUUGUGAAGAUGCUGAUUCUGGAAACCAAGAUGGUUGGAUUCAUAGGAAUAGAGUAAAAGAAAUCGACUCCAAAGAUUAGUGGGUGUCCCAGCAUUAGAUGCUUCCUUUGAGAAUCAAUUGGCAAGAUACCAGAACCUACCUUAUAAUCCUCUGUUGACUCAGACAAAUCCUUCUAAUGCUGGAUUAAUGUCCGUGGAAGGGCAUCUCAGAAGCCCUCUUCAAAACCAAGUAAAUUGGCAGAUUCCAGUUCAGGACAGCUUGCCACUGCAAAAAUGGCCCAUGAACUACCAUGGUACUGACAUGGCCUUACAUGAGAAUUUCCGGACGUUUUCGAGUCUUGUCGGCAGUCAAAACCAGCAGCAGCCUAUUGGGAGUAGUUUUCAAGCUCUGUUUUCAAGGACCUGGACCUCCAGACUCAUACAGUUUUCCCAUUGCUCUCUAUCAACCGCUUCCAUAAUCUUAUGGAUCGAUUUGUCUUGCUAGCGGUAACGUCCAAGCACACUACGUGCAAGGAAUUCAUGAAUAUUUUUGAAACGAUAACGCAAUCGAUGGCAUGUACCAUUUACGAUUAUCGGCAGAUGUUUAUUAUGCAGAUGGUGUUUACUUAUACCCAUCAUCAUGUUGUGUAGAGGUGAGCAAGCUGUCGGUCGUGCCUACCUCAACAUGCCUGGCUGGAGGGAGUCUCCAACUAAAUUAGACGGAUGCGGAAGGCGAAUUAAAACUUCGCUUCAUGGUAUUGCUGUUGCGAGACUCCUGGUUUACACGACGACUUACCAAGAGACAAGAGCUGCUUAGUAAUAUUGGUCGAAGAUGGAGCUAUGCUUUUACUUUAGACAGAUGCAGAAAUUUAAUAUUUAACGUAUUUAGACAGUCCAUUGCCUAUUAGAUGGAAAUUAGAAGACUUUUUAUUCUAAGUUUCAACAACUAGAACCUUAUUUUA